rnacentral:rRNA from 1 species
GGGUUGUGAGGUUAAGCGACUAAGCGUACACGGUGGAUGCCCUGGCAGUCAGAGGCGAUGAAGGACGUGCUAAUCUGCGAUAAGCGUCGGUAAGGUGAUAUGAACCGUUAUAACCGGCGAUUUCCGAAUGGGGAAACCCAGUGUGUUUCGACACACUAUCAUUAACUGAAUCCAUAGGUUAAUGAGGCGAACCGGGGGAACUGAAACAUCUAAGUACCCCGAGGAAAAGAAAUCAACCGAGAUUCCCCCAGUAGCGGCGAGCGAACGGGGAGCAGCCCAGAGCCUGAAUCAGUGUGUGUGUUAGUGGAAGCGUCUGGAAAGGCGCGCGAUACAGGGUGACAGCCCCGUACACAAAAAUGCACAUGCUGUGAGCUCGAUGAGUAGGGCGGGACACGUGGUAUCCUGUCUGAAUAUGGGGGGACCAUCCUCCAAGGCUAAAUACUCCUGACUGACCGAUAGUGAACCAGUACCGUGAGGGAAAGGCGAAAAGAACCCCGGCGAGGGGAGUGAAAAAGAACCUGAAACCGUGUACGUACAAGCAGUGGGAGCACGCUUCGGCGUGUGACUGCGUACCUUUUGUAUAAUGGGUCAGCGACUUAUAUUCUGUAGCAAGGUUAACCGAAUAGGGGAGCCGAAGGGAAACCGAGUCUUAACUGGGCGUUAAGUUGCAGGGUAUAGACCCGAAACCCGGUGAUCUAGCCAUGGGCAGGUUGAAGGUUGGGUAACACUAACUGGAGGACCGAACCGACUAAUGUUGAAAAAUUAGCGGAUGACUUGUGGCUGGGGGUGAAAGGCCAAUCAAACCGGGAGAUAGCUGGUUCUCCCCGAAAGCUAUUUAGGUAGCGCCUCGUGAAUUCAUCUCCGGGGGUAGAGCACUGUUUCGGCAAGGGGGUCAUCCCGACUUACCAACCCGAUGCAAACUGCGAAUACCGGAGAAUGUUAUCACGGGAGACACACGGCGGGUGCUAACGUCCGUCGUGAAGAGGGAAACAACCCAGACCGCCAGCUAAGGUCCCAAAGUCAUGGUUAAGUGGGAAACGAUGUGGGAAGGCCCAGACAGCCAGGAUGUUGGCUUAGAAGCAGCCAUCAUUUAAAGAAAGCGUAAUAGCUCACUGGUCGAGUCGGCCUGCGCGGAAGAUGUAACGGGGCUAAACCAUGCACCGAAGCUGCGGCAGCGACACUGUGUGUUGUUGGGUAGGGGAGCGUUCUGUAAGCCUGUGAAGGUGUGCUGUGAGGCAUGCUGGAGGUAUCAGAAGUGCGAAUGCUGACAUAAGUAACGAUAAAGCGGGUGAAAAGCCCGCUCGCCGGAAGACCAAGGGUUCCUGUCCAACGUUAAUCGGGGCAGGGUGAGUCGACCCCUAAGGCGAGGCCGAAAGGCGUAGUCGAUGGGAAACAGGUUAAUAUUCCUGUACUUGGUGUUACUGCGAAGGGGGGACGGAGAAGGCUAUGUUGGCCGGGCGACGGUUGUCCCGGUUUAAGCGUGUAGGCUGGUUUUCCAGGCAAAUCCGGAAAAUCAAGGCUGAGGCGUGAUGACGAGGCACUACGGUGCUGAAGCAACAAAUGCCCUGCUUCCAGGAAAAGCCUCUAAGCAUCAGGUAACAUCAAAUCGUACCCCAAACCGACACAGGUGGUCAGGUAGAGAAUACCAAGGCGCUUGAGAGAACUCGGGUGAAGGAACUAGGCAAAAUGGUGCCGUAACUUCGGGAGAAGGCACGCUGAUAUGUAGGUGAAGUCCCUCGCGGAUGGAGCUGAAAUCAGUCGAAGAUACCAGCUGGCUGCAACUGUUUAUUAAAAACACAGCACUGUGCAAACACGAAAGUGGACGUAUACGGUGUGACGCCUGCCCGGUGCCGGAAGGUUAAUUGAUGGGGUCAGCGCAAGCGAAGCUCUUGAUCGAAGCCCCGGUAAACGGCGGCCGUAACUAUAACGGUCCUAAGGUAGCGAAAUUCCUUGUCGGGUAAGUUCCGACCUGCACGAAUGGCGUAAUGAUGGCCAGGCUGUCUCCACCCGAGACUCAGUGAAAUUGAACUCGCUGUGAAGAUGCAGUGUACCCGCGGCAAGACGGAAAGACCCCGUGAACCUUUACUAUAGCUUGACACUGAACAUUGAGCCUUGAUGUGUAGGAUAGGUGGGAGGCUUAGAAGUGUGGACGCCAGUCUGCAUGGAGCCGACCUUGAAAUACCACCCUUUAAUGUUUGAUGUUCUAACGUUGACCCGUAAUCCGGGUUGCGGACAGUGUCUGGUGGGUAGUUUGACUGGGGCGGUCUCCUCCUAAAGAGUAACGGAGGAGCACGAAGGUUGGCUAAUCCUGGUCGGACAUCAGGAGGUUAGUGCAAUGGCAUAAGCCAGCUUGACUGCGAGCGUGACGGCGCGAGCAGGUGCGAAAGCAGGUCAUAGUGAUCCGGUGGUUCUGAAUGGAAGGGCCAUCGCUCAACGGAUAAAAGGUACUCCGGGGAUAACAGGCUGAUACCGCCCAAGAGUUCAUAUCGACGGCGGUGUUUGGCACCUCGAUGUCGGCUCAUCACAUCCUGGGGCUGAAGUAGGUCCCAAGGGUAUGGCUGUUCGCCAUUUAAAGUGGUACGCGAGCUGGGUUUAGAACGUCGUGAGACAGUUCGGUCCCUAUCUGCCGUGGGCGCUGGAGAACUGAGGGGGGCUGCUCCUAGUACGAGAGGACCGGAGUGGACGCAUCACUGGUGUUCGGGUUGUCAUGCCAAUGGCACUGCCCGGUAGCUAAAUGCGGAAGAGAUAAGUGCUGAAAGCAUCUAAGCACGAAACUUGCCCCGAGAUGAGUUCUCCCUGACCCUUUAAGGGUCCUGAAGGAACGUUGAAGACGACGACGUUGAUAGGCCGGGUGUGUAAGCGCAGCGAUGCGUUGAGCUAACCGGUACUAAUGAACCGUGAGGCUUAACCUUACAACGCCGAAGGUGUUU